rnacentral:misc_RNA from 1 species
AAGUCGUAACAAGGUCUCCGUAGGGGAACCUGCGGAGGGAUCAUUUCCGAAUUUGAGAGCGGAUGCUGAGGGCGCGAGCCCGAGGCAGACGCUCUUAUCAAAAGUUGGUUGUGUUCUACCUAAAAAAAAGGGAAGGGUAUUUGUGUGUGGAUUUGUUCACCCUUAACAAGUGGACAAAUCUUUCCCAUCUAUUCUUUGCUUUUUUUUUAUAAACAUGUAAUCAAAACAUUCUUAACUUGAUGGCAUCUUUUUUUAUUAAAAAAAAUGACAACUAUCAACGGCGGAUCUCUUGGUUCGU